rnacentral:rRNA from 1 species
ACCGACUAAUGUUGAAAAAUUAGCGGAUGACUUGUGGCUGGGGGUGAAAGGCCAAUCAAACCGGGAGAUAGCUGGUUCUCCCCGAAAGCUAUUUAGGUAGCGCCUCGUGAAUUCAUCUCCGGGGGUAGAGCACUGUUUCGGCAAGGGGGUCAUCCCGACUUACCAACCCGAUGCAAACUGCGAAUACCGGAGAAUGUUAUCACGGGAGACACACGGCGGGUGCUAACGUCCGUCGUGAAGAGGGAAACAACCCAGACCGCCAGCUAAGGUCCCAAAGUCAUGGUUAAGUGGGAAACGAUGUGGGAAGGCCCAGACAGCCAGGAUGUUGGCUUAGAAGCAGCCAUCAUUUAAAGAAAGCGUAAUAGCUCACUGGUCGAGUCGGCCUGCGCGGAAGAUGUAACGGGGCUAAACCAUGCACCGAAGCUGCGGCAGCGACGCUUAUGCGUUGUUGGGUAGGGGAGCGUUCUGUAAGCCUGUGAAGGUGUGCUGUGAGGCAUGCUGGAGGUAUCAGAAGUGCGAAUGCUGACAUAAGUAACGAUAAAGCGGGUGAAAAGCCCGCUCGCCGGAAGACCAAGGGUUCCUGUCCAA